AAUUGGCAUAGUGUGGGUAGUGAAGAAC
rnacentral:piRNA from 1 species